rnacentral:lncRNA from 1 species
CUCUGGAAGACUUUAGUCAGUGUCUGUGACCGGCUCAACAGGGAAGAACAUCUUCCUCCCAUCUCCGAGGAGGAGGGGCCCUUUCUCACCCGACUCUGGGUACCAGGGCCCGAGGACCACCCAGAACAGAAGCCCAAGACAUUGGGAGGGGACCCCCAGAUGGCAGGCUGAGCACCCGGGAAACGAGAGUUGCUUGGUGAGGACGCUUCAGACAUAGACUUGGGGGACACUGUACUCUGUGCCAGUGAGCCCUUCCUGCCCCAGGGGAGGGCCUUAGAGAAGGGAGGGCACCCUGGGCCUCUCCGAGGGCAGGAGUCCUGAGGAUGGGGAGACCUGACAAGCUUAGGGCUACAGAAGGAGAAGACAGAAGUCUCUUUGGAGCCCAGGAUCCUCUCAGAGAGGAGCGGAGGGUGGGGACAACGACUGUUAAAGGCCUGACCCUUGGACUCUGUCCACAUCGGCUCCUUGUUGGCUCUGCCUGUGUCUCUUUAGAACAAGAAGGGCAGGUGUCCUUGGUCCCAGGGGAAAGAGUGGGCAGUGGCUGGCUCAGGAGGAAAGGAAGGGGCCCAGCCCUGGGCCAGUGGGAGGAAAGUGAGCUCCGGAUGGCCAGAGGGGCCUGGGAAGUACUCCAGGGCUUAACAGUUGUCAGCCUCCUCAGGGUCCCCAGCCCACCGGCCUCCUGCUUUGGUGCCAUGAAGCUGAGUCUGUCUGGACAUCUCAGCACAGGGGCUCCCAGCUGGGGCUCUGUGCCCAGACUUCAGAAUCCCACGUCAUGACUGCCCAGACGGGCCACUCCCACCAGACUCGCGAGCCAGGAAAGAAUGGGCGUGCCGUCAGGACGCAGGCCCCACUGUGCGUCAGGCUCUGGACGUGGGAUGACCGGCCAUCCCAGACACUCCCUCUGAAGACACUGGACACACUCUAAGAAGAAAUUAGUACAGCAGGGACCUCACAGAGACAGGAAAGACUCUCACCGAAGAGGAGCAGGAUGGUUAAUCUACAUGUCCACUUGGCCCGGAUGCCGUCCCCAGUUAUUCAAUCAAACCCUCUCCUGGUGUUGCUGUGAACACAUCGUGUCCAUGUGGUUCAAAUCUACAAUCAGUUAACCUAACUAAGGAGAGCAUCCUCAGUAAUGUGGGUGGGCCUCAUCCAAUCAGUUGAAGACCUUAAGAGCAAAAACUGAAGUUUCUUCACGCAAGAAGAAACUGUGCCUUUGGAAGACAGCUCCUGCCUGAGGGUCUCCAGCUUGCGGGCCUGUCCUUCAGGUUUCUGACUUGCCCAGCCAGACCCCACAAUCACAUAAGGCAACUGCUUAAAAUAAAUCUCUGUUUCUCUGGUGGAGCCCUGGCUGCCACAAGGAGGAAACAGACAUCCAGUCCCAAUUGCCCCUCCCACCUCGUUCAUUCCACUCAUUCUCUGAGCACUGACUCGGCACCCGUGAUAAAGCGCCUGUGCUAGACCCCAGGUAUGUGGUUGUGAACACGUAGACGCUGACAGACCCGCGGGGAGGCUGGCGUGAAACACACACACACCGGGGUAAGCAGCCAUGCCUUCGUCCCGGCUUGCUGUGGCUCACGGUGCUGGCUUGGCUGGUUCACAGGAGCCCAUCGUGCACAUCCCUUCCUGACUCGGCUUCACGGAUGUCAUGUUGGUAGCCUGACAUUGGCAGUGGUGGGAGUAUUCACACCCUGGAAACUGGCAAAUCAGGGCUUUCCCCCCAGCUUCUCAGCACACUCGGCUUGUCCUGGCCUCUAACCUGGAGGUUACCUCAUGGUCCAAAAUAACUGCUGGAGCCCCAACCAUCAUGUCUUCAUCUCAGGUGUAAAGCAGGAGGAAGAGGAGACGGGCAAAAUAAGCUUUCACCAGCUCUCCGUCCCCUUUUUAAUGAGCUUUCUGCAAAGCCCCCUCACCAACUUCUCCUAUGCCUCACUGGUCAGGACUUGGUACACACCACACCUGGCUGCAAGGGAGGCUGGGAAAUGUGGUCUUUGAUGGCACACAUUUCUGCCCUGAAUAAAAUCAGUUUCUUUGGGAAGGAAGAAGAGAGGACUAGAGAGUGGGAAGGCAGCAGUCCCUGCUCCCCUGCCUUUUCCCCACUGCUCUCUCGCUGCCUCAUUUAACAAUCUCCUGGGCCCUCCAUGUUGUCUGCAACAGAACUCAGACUUCUUGCUACGACCUGCAAGCCCUUUACCAUCUGGCUCCUACCACCCCAUCUGACGUCUCCCCAGGCCUCUACCUCCUUUGUCCCCGUCUUCCAGCCCGCAGACCUGAUUCUUGUUCUGAGGUGAAAGUCAUGUCAUGGUCACUCGGUGUGUCAUCUGUGCCCUGACCAGGGCCUGACAUCAGCCAAAGACCAAGGCACGCGGAGGGAACAGUGUUGCAUGCGGUGCUCUCUGGGGCUGUGCAUGCUCCCAGCGUCUAGUGAUUAGUG